rnacentral:lncRNA from 1 species
ACUUGCCACUCAUGCCACCAACCAGGUGAAAAAAGAACUCAUCUUCAUGUUACCAACCAGGUGAUGAAAUGUACAAUCCGUUCUCUCCUUCAUGCCACGAACCAGGUGAUGAAAUGUACAACCCAUACUUUAAUAUCAUUUGGCAACUUGUCACUCAUGCCACCAACCAGGUGAAGAAGGAACUCAUCUUCAUGCCACCAACCAGGUGAUGAAAUGUACAACCCGUACUCUAAUAUCAUUUGGCAACUUGCCAUUCAUGCCACCAACCAGGGGAAAAAGGAACUUAUCCUUGUGCCACCAACCAGGUGAUGAAAUGUGAUAAAAGGUGAUAAAGGAACUCACCUUCGUACCACUAACCAAGUGAUAAAAGCAACUCACCAUUCAUUCCACCUACCAGAAAAUGAGUGGUACAACUUGUACAUGUGAACUCCUAGCAUUCACAAAUAAUCAAAAACCCUCAAGCUUCACAACUCAACUAGGGGAGCAUUUAUGCCCAACAAGAGUUAUAGUCACCAACAAAGUCUUAUUGCAAGCCAACAACAACUUCAGUGCAUGGCAUACGAAAAUCAAGCUAUUCAGCCCUCUUGCGUCUGCUUCAAACAUUUCCCCUCUAUAACAAUGCAAACACUACAACUCAUAGAAAGCUUCACACACUCUUGAUCAAGACAGUGUGAAGCAAAACCAAUU